GCUGUGCCUUUGGGAAUGGUGGGAUAUCCCGAGCUGGAAGGGAUAUCGCAGGGAUCAGCGAAUCCAGCUGGCUGCCCUGCUCAGGACACCGCAGGAAUCCUGCCGUGUGCCUCAGAGUUAUCCCGACGCUUCUUGAGCUCUGCCAGGCUGGUGCUGUGACCACUGCCCUGGGGAGCCUGUUCCACUGCCCAGCGAACCCUCCAGGGGAAGAAUCUUUUCCUAAUAUCCUGCCCUGACAACUUCAGGCUGUGUCACUGUCACCACAGAGCAGAGAUCAGUGCCUGCCCCUCCUCUCCCCUCAUGAGGAAUGUGUAACUUCAGUGAGGUCUCCCCUCAGUCUCCUCCAGGCCGAGCAGACCAAGCGCCCUCAGCCGCUCCUCACACCCUUCCCCUCAAGGCCCUUCACUAUCUUCGUUGCUCUUUUGGGCUCUCUCCAACAGUUCAAUGUGUUUCUUGUAUUGUGAUGCUCAAAGCCGCACACGAUAUUCAAGCCGGUGCCGUGAGGGGCUCAUUGAUGCCAGUGAUGAGGCAAAAUCCGUACCCUGUGCAGAGACAGCAAACCUCAUGGCUCCAGAGACCAAGAAUAACUGGGAGAGCUUUUACCAGCUUCACUGUGAUGUAUAAAAUUCCUCAGGCCCAUUCAAAUCUCUUGCACCCUGAUGCUUCCUUCAAGCUAUUCAUUGCAGAUUCUGACAGAUUUUCCAAGGAAAGCUCUGAUGAGUUACCAGGCUUGGGCUGCAGCACAGAGCUCUGACCGUGACCUCCUGCUAUUGUGGGAAUCCCAUGCAUGCGUUGGGAUGGUCGGUGUGCCUUGCCUCUGGAAAAACUGGGAUCACGGCCAGAGGGGAGCUGAGCUUGUGGCAGAGCACUCCUGGGGCAGGGCUGAGCUCAUCAUUCCUUUAGGAUCUCCCCUGGAGGCAGCGGGAAGGAGCAGAAUGCAGGAGGAGAUGACUCAGGAAGGUUCCUCUUGCAUAGUCAAAAUGCUUAAUAAAAACUGAAGUGUUCAGCUAAAUUUGAGGCUUCGUGUGAUUGCCC